GAUGAGCGCUGGCGGUAUGCCUAACACAUGCAAGUCGUACGCCUCACUUCGGUGAGGAGUGGCGGACGGGUGAGUAACACGUUAGUACCUGCCCCAAAGUGGGGAAUAACUGCCCGAAAGGGUAGCUAAUACCCCAUAGUCUCCGGUUUAUCCGGAGUAAAGAUUUAUCGCUUUGGGAGGGGCUUGCGUUUGAUUAGCUAGUUGGUGAGGGUAAUGGCCCACCAAGGCGACGAUCAAUAGCUGGAUCGAGAGGUUGACCAGCCACACUGGGACUGAGAUACGGCCCAGACUCCUACGGGAGGCAGCAGUGAGGAAUCUUCCACAAUGGGCGAAAGCCUGAUGGAGCAAUACCGCGUGCAGGAUGAAGCUUUUCGGAGUGUAAACUGCUUUUCUGAAGGAAGAUUAUGACGGUACUUCAGGAAUAAGGAUCGGCUAACUACGUGCCAGCAGCCGCGGUAAGAUCACGUGUA
rnacentral:rRNA from 1 species